GUUGAUUCAGUUAUAAUAUGCUUUAUUAACAUAGAUCAUGACUUCCUUUGUGAAUCAUCAAAUAUGCAUUCAUGGCAUCAUUUUCAAAGGCUUCUGUCCAUUCCCAACACAAAGUGUUAAUCCACCCUCCACUGCUGCCUUUGAUUUACUUUCAGACAAAUCUGUGAUGCAAACGACUCCAUGCUCUGAAUCUUUUGGGGUAUGGGCUCUCAGCUCCCCUGAGGACAGGUGGUCAUGCCCUCCUCCCGAGUACUCCUGCUGGUCAAGUGGGCCCUGAGAGGAGAGGGGGCUAAAGGACCUGAGGACUAAGGGUAGAUUAAGGGUAUCUUUGGGUAGAUUUCUAAGGGCCACCCUCACACAACCCUAAACCCAGCAUGUGAUCCCCACCAACCCAGCAGCGUGUCCCCUAGGCAACAGCAAGCCCAUACCUAUUCCGGAAGGAGCUCAGCCCCUACGAAUCAGGCCCAGGGAACCUGCACUUCUGGAAGUUCUUACCCCAGACCUUCACGCUACUCAGUGGUCUCAGGUGCCCUCUGCCAUAUAGCUCUAGCUCAGUGCUACUGAAUACGGGUCUGACAGAGUAACAUCGGCACCAACAAAAAGCUUGUUAAAGAUGUCAUUUCAUGAGCCUCACAGGAGAAUCAUAAUUAAGAGUGGGGCCUGGGCUCCCCCCAAAUUUGUAAGCACUUUAAAGCUUUGGAAGAAAUGUUUGCUACGUGGCUCCCAUGCAGUUUCUCAUUAGUAUUACAUGAUGAGUAUUUAGCAAUAACAUCACCUGUACCCUCCCCACAGAAUCUAUUGAUCUGGGUGGGAGCAUCUGCGUUGUUUUAACUCCAGGUGAUUCAAAGUUUAGGCCCGGUUUAAGCAUGAGGGCUGCUUGGGUACCUUGAUGAGAGUUGCUUCCAGUCUUUGGUCCUUUUGCCUCUGGGGAGGUAUCGGUGUCUGCUCUACGUGGGAUUGGAAGGGGCAGGGCGGUGCAGCCCACUUGCUCUAUGCUGUAGCAGAGUUUCUGGGCAUCUGUGUGAGGGGAGAGCACGUGCAGACAGGAAAGAAAAAGCUCACAGUUUGGUCUCCACGCGGGAGCUCAUUGUUCCUGAAUCUCUCUUUUUCUGAAGGUUGGCAUUUCAGCGUUUCAAGGUCUUUUGCCUGUGGGUAUGGUGGGAACAGGUGAAGGAGCUGUGCUGUUGCCGUUGAAGGCAUAUUCUCAAGAUGCUGAUGGGAUUCCUCAACAUGAUAUCAAUGAGAAAAUGAUCAAGAGCAGGAGGUAGAAGAGGACGAAAUGGCAGCUUCUCAGGCCUCAGUGACCCGGGCCGCUGUGCCAUCCCUAGAAUAUGAGCCGGCUUGGGUCCCAAGGCUGGGCUGACCUGGGACAGAGGGACCUGGGAAGGAUGGUGCAGCAACUGAGCCCUCCUCGGACCUGUAGUGCCUGGUCCCAUCUGCGUGGGACCACAGUCUCCAGAUCCAGGAAAUCAAGUUAUCAAUGCCUGAAGGAGAUUGACCAGAGGUGGAAGGACAUAGCAAAUUUCCAGAUCAUCACACAGACAUCAGCACCACAGAACCCCUAAAGUCCAGAACGUCUAGAAGCAAACGAGGGGACAAACUGCCUCAAAAGGGAUAUUAGUUAUGUAUACUCCCUGCAAGAGUACAUCAAACGGCUUGUUUCCACUGAUGUUGACAAGAGAUGCUACAAAGGCACUUUACAUUUUCUAUAUAAGAGAAGAAAAAUGAUUACAUUGGCUUUGUAAUUUAUUUCCUCCUGACCAUCAUUGAGGUUGGGUGCCUCUUCAUAUGUAAAAUGAUCAUUUUUCUUUUACAGUGAAAUUUAAUUUCAUAGGUUCCAGAUAUUUUUGUUUGCUUCUAUUUUUUCUCUUGAUUGAGAGGCAAUUCAAAUAUACUUUAUAGUUGUGGUGUCUUCUCCCACAUCCUUCCAAGCCAAUUACUGUGCACACAGUCACUAAAAAAUUUGUCAAGGAACUUGUUUUCACAGGUCAUCCAUCACUCAAGACACUUGAUAUGAGGGCCAUCUGCCAUGCACAGCCUUACAUCAAGAGCUCUGUACUGAGCUCUUUGCUCUCAACUUGUGGACCAGUUAAAGGACAGGAUGAGGAUAUCGUUAAACCUCACAACCUACAGCGAAGCACAUUGGUCAAGGCUCAAACAUCCUUGCCAACAGGCCUGGGAGCUUCUCCUAUGAUGUUCCCCAGCUUGUCACCAAGACAUCUGGUCUGGACCAUGUCACCAACCACAGAGCACUGAAGUGUAGACUCAAUGUGCAGACCAGAGAAUCUCAAACAUAAAUGUGAUCAGGACUCCAAACUCAGGCAGCAGGCAAGAGAUCUGCCUUGGUCUCCAUCCUGUUUUGCUAGAUCUUCCCCUCCUACCUACCCCCUUCUCACAAAAAAGUAAGACUCAGGACCCUUUUAUCCUCUGAGGAUACUCAGAGACCUGAUCUGUGGAAUUAUCCACAGCCUUUAUCCUCUUCCCAGUACAACUGGACUUGGAUUCACACAGGCACACCAAAUGACCAUAAGGACACCUGCCCCAAUGCUAAGCAUUGACUCCCAGCCUCUACCCAACUCACCUCACCUGAGCCCAAUCCAGGCCUGCACUGUCCCCCAACCUCCACCAUCUACGCAUGUUCCAGACCAACCCCUCAGAAUUGUCUUCAUGAUGGGACAAGUGAUGCGGGGAGGGCUCCAGGUUCAGAACACCUUUCAUUUCAUCCUCCUAAGAAGCCUUCUCCUACAAGUCAGAUGUUUCACCUCUUAGAGGAGCCUGGGUGAUACUGACCCAUGUCCCAGUCCACAUUCUCCAGGAGGACCUUCUGGUCUCCUCUGAGGGGAGUGACCCGCCCUGCCCCAAGGCACGGAAGAUUCAGCCUCCAGGCUAACAGGGCUCAGAGGCGACUACUGGAGUAAAAGAAAGAAGAAAGCAGCAGAAUUUGUCUCAUGAAUUAGCACUUCCCCAGAUGUGGUUUAUGUACAAAUUUCAGAACACCAGAUAAUAUUGAGAAUUGCACAGCCCAUUUCAUGUAAUGUUAUGAAUUGUGUAAAUUUAACUUAUGUUUUAAAUGGAGGUU